AUGGCGCUGCGGGGUGCGUGAUACGCCUUUAUUCCCGAGACCGAUAAUCUAUCGCCAGGGAGCUGUCCCUGGCCGGGCUUAGUGUUUUGCCGCUUCGCCUGGUUAUACGGCGCCCACCUGUUUAACAGGGUCACUGGUGGAUAACGAGAUUCGUACACGGCCCGCGCGGCACUUUU
rnacentral:other from 1 species